GGGUAGGCUGGGAGAUGUAGUUCCAGCCUCUCAGUGGAGCGGAAGUGACGUCGGCGAGGGAGCCGGAGCUGGAGCGCGAACGAGUGCAGUUAUGCCUGGGUUCGUGCAGAGCAGUUGGACUCUCUCCCGGGGUCGGAGAAGGGUUUGUGCCGUUGGAGCUCUGGACAUGCGCAGAUCGCGGCGGGAGAGACCUUCAUUAACACCCCCCCCGCCAUGCACGGCCCGGGCUCCGUUGCGGAACUGCAGCCUCCAGGACUGGUGACCUUCGAAGAGGUGGCUGUCUAUUUCACCAGGGAAGAGUGGGCUCUGCUGGACCCCACUCAGAGAGCCUUCUACAGGGAUGUCAUGCAGGAGAACUGUGAGACAGUGACCUUGCUGGGGUUUCCAUUUUCCAAACCUGAUGUGAUCCUCGCAGCUGGAUUGAGGGGAACAGCCGUGGGGCUCAGACCUCUUUGGCUCUGAAAAAAAAGUGCUCCCAAGAGCUGUGUGCACAGCACAGGGAGUGACCUAUGUCUGGAUUCUCUCUGUCUCCCAUCAGGUGAUGAGAUGGUGAGUGAAAACGAGGAGAUACUGCAAAUGUGUAGAAAAUGAAAUCUGUGUUGAAUGUGACAUAGCUGCAGAAAGAGACCUAUAUUCAAUAGAUACCUGACAUUUGGUGCUUUACAGGGAUUCUAAACCGCACCUGAAUUUAGUCCCUAAUUUAAAUCUGUGCCACCAGAUUAAAGAAAUAAAAGGACAUAUUUGGGAGAGUUAUACCUCACUAUCACUAUUGAUACAUUGUGUGGUUGGUGAAGAAUUCUACACCAGAGACAUGUAAAAUUAUUCCAAGAAAGGUCAAAGAUUUGACAAGAACUCAGGUAGAAAUUGCAGAUUUUGAUUUUCACCCUAGAGAUGGAAGCUAUGGUGACCUGUGGCCCAGGUAAACUAUUUUUCGAACGCUGCACCCUAGUUAAGUGGCAUUAGUCACACUCCUAGAGGAUGCCAUGAUUAAAUUGGGAACAACUGUCUUUUACCAUCUGGCUCCAAAGUUUCAUGAAGCACAGAGAGAAACAGCUGAUUCCUUCAGAGACAUUCCACGCCUCUGGGUCCCAAUCUGGCUGCCUUGUUGGACAAGAAGCACUUCCAUGCUGGGCAAAUGAUGGUAGCCAAUGAGGGAAUGUAUCAGAUUCCAAGUUCAGACUGCAAGAUACAUGAAUGCUGAGUCCUGACUCUAUGGUUUGGUCUCUUAGUUUUGCUAUUAAGUUUUAUGCAUUUGUAUCACUUCUCCACCUGCUGCUACUUUGAAAGAUUAGAAAAUGUGAAAAUAGAGCACAAGUGUUUUUUUCUCAUGAUGCAACCUUCCCACGCAGCGUGACAGCCCUUCCACCUACACUUGUGGGAGAAGACCCAGGGCAAAAUGAACUCACAUAAAUGGAAAGCUCCUCGGUUAUUAUAGAAUGUGACUUCACACAAAACUCAAUGGUGGAAAUGGGAAUUAAGAGAAAACUGCCCUAUAGGUUUAUAUUUUGUAAUCUUUGAAUAAGUUGUUACCAGUGACAGUGAAAUUAAACAUGAACUUAAUUAGUGUAAAGUAAGAGGCUGAUUAUGUGAUAACUUUCAGUGUUACAAUAUAAUUCAGAUUUUCUUCUAGUUCUCUCCCUGUCCCUCCUACUAUAUCGGAAAAGGUGGCUAAUCCUGAAAAGUAAAACCUCACUCCAAAGGAAUUAGAGUGGAGAAACAUGUGAGAGAAGUAGUAUGUAUGAAAAUAGACCCCUAGUGUAGACUGUAAUUAUAUCCAUUUCAAAUGGAAUUUAUUUUGAUAAACUUUAAAAUAAAUAUUCUGUGAAGAGGAAAAUUGCUUGAGUCAAGAUCUGCAACCUUGUACUGAGGUAGAGGGUAACAGCCACAGAGUUCGCCACUUUGCUUGUUUGCUAAACAAAGACACAUCGGGCAGGAGAGGUCAGCAUUUAAAAUACUGAUGGAUGCAUGAUGAUUGAUUUUUGCAACCAGUUAUUUUUAUGGGUGCUGAGACCCCUUUUCCUUUUGAGGCGGCCAGCUGUUAGAGCCCAGCUGUUUAACCCUCAGGCCUGGCCAUGGAAACCUCCCUAUAAGUGGCCUUUGUUUCUUUCAUGUUUGAUACCUUUGGGGUUCACACAUCCACACUAGAUGUGGUUUAUGAUAGUGGAUACUUUGAGAAAACUGCUGUGUUAAAUCGGGCUAUUCCAAACUAACAUUGGCUCAAACUCUGCCUCACUUCAUCUAGAGUGGGACAUGUCUGUAUCAAAGGAUUAGUUCACACCUGAUUUGCCCAGAGACCUUGCAGGAGGUGUCGUAAGGUGGGGUAAGCUGGAAUCUACAACAAUAAAGUAAAAGGUAAGGGUGGGAGUCCUUCAGCUUUCAAAUCAACAAGCCUGUUCUGUUCAUUCCCUCUGAAGCAUCUCGCACUGGUCGCCCUCAGGCAGCACACUGGGCUAGAUAUGGCCCAUUGAUUUGACCUAGUAUGACCUGUCUUGUGUUCUUAUGUAAGUCAUCUAAGAGAGACUGACUUCCAGGAUCCAGGACUGAUCCCUUCUGGGGAAUGAAACACAACAGUGACAGGCUGUGCAGCCUUCACUAGUCUCCUGUACCUGAAAAGCCUGCUAGCCCGAAGUGCUGGGCCAACUAUGCCAGUACCUGGUUCCUCAACUGCAGCUACAGGUCCUGCUCCAUGCGACUCCAAAGCCAAAGAGCUGCAGAGAUCCAACUCCUCGUAAUCUUUGCCAUUUAUUUUCCUUUUUCUAUUAUUAGUGAUGCAAUAGUGAAAUCUGAGGAGAAAACUAAUUCGCUUUGAGGCUGUGGGCUAAAUGUAGCAAUAAUUUGGUUUCGGUAUUGAAAUGUUCAGCUGGCUGAAUCUGGGUUGCACUGCCUGGGUGAAAAUCUCUGACUGGGGUUUCUACAUCACUAAAUAUGCAACUGCCUCCUUGGGUUGCUGUUCUAGGAUUUAUAAGGGUUGAUUUUCUGCUGUAUUCAUCUGAGGGUUUGACUAAAUUGAUGACUUGAUUCCAAUGCAAUAUCCUUGUUAAUGCGUUGAUUUACUGAUUUGACCUGAACUUUAUCACUGGAUUGUUUAACCCUUCGUUAGCUGAGUGGUAUUCAUAGUCGUUUAGCCUUAGUGAUGUGUGUUCUUGGUUUUAUUUGUUUGUGUUAAUAAAACAUGUAACUGGGA